CUACGGGACGCUGCAGUGGGGAAUAUUGCACAAUGGGCGCAAGCCUGAUGCAGCCAUGCCGCGUGUAUGAAGAAGGCCUUCGGGUUGUAAAGUACUUUCAGCGGGGAGGAAGGGAGUAAAGUUAAUACCUUUGCUCAUUGACGUUACCCGCAGAAGAAGCACCGGCUAACUCCGUGCCAGCAGCCGCGGUAAUACGGAGGGUGCAAGCGUUAAUCGGAAUUACUGGGCGUAAAGCGCACGCAGGCGGUUUGUUAAGUCAGAUGUGAAAUCCCCGGGCUCAACCUGGGAACUGCAUCUGAUACUGGGAAGCUUGAGUCUCGUAGAGGGGGGUAGAAUUCCAGGUGUAGCGGUGAAAUGCGUAGAGAUCUGGAGGAAUACCGGUGGCGAAGGCGGCCCCCUGGACGAAGACUGACGCUCAGGUGCGAAAGCGUGGGGAGCAAACAGGAUUAGAUACCCGGGUAGUC
rnacentral:rRNA from 1 species